GAUGAACGCUGGCGGCGUGCCUAAUACAUGCAAGUCGAGCGAAUGGAUUAAGAGCUUGCUCUUAUGAAGUUAGCGGCGGACGGGUGAGUAACACGUGGGUAACCUGCCCAUAAGACUGGGAUAACUCCGGGAAACCGGGGCUAAUACCGGAUAACAUUUUGAACCGCAUGGUUCGAAAUUGAAAGGAGGCUUCGGCUGUUACUUAUGGUGGGAGCCGCGUCGCAUUAGCUAGUUGGGGAGGUAACGGCUCACCAAGGCAACGAUGCGUAGCCGACCUGAGAGGGUGAUCGGCCACACUGGGACUGAGACACGGCCCAGACUCCUACGGGAGGCAGCAGGAGGGAAUCUUCCGCAAUGGACGAAAGUCUGACGGAGCAACGCCGCGUGAGUGAUGAAGGCUUUCGGGUCGUAAAACUCUGUUGUUAGGGAAGAACAAGUGCUAGUUGAAUAAGCUGGCACCUUGACGGUACCUAACCAGAAAGCCACGGCUAACUACGUGCCAGCAGCCGCGGUAA
rnacentral:rRNA from 1 species